rnacentral:lncRNA from 1 species
CUAUCCGCGCAAAAGGUAAAAAUUCGAUCUUAUUUUUCUCUUUUAAUCAUAAAGAACAUGAGGAAUCUUGAUUGUGUGGUUUUUGAGAUUGGAUCUCGAGAGUUUUCAAAAUCAAAUUUGUUUGAUUUUUUUUCGCGUUUUUAUCGUACGCAAUUUUCUAACAGUGGUAUCAGAGCCAUCCUCAAUCCUCUUGUUUUUCAAUAUUAAAAUUAUGAAUUUGGGUAUUUUAAAUCGUUCUUCGCCGGUCGAACGAUUUAUAGAUCGUUUUUUAUUGAUUCGAAAAAUCGUCAGCUGAUUAAACAAUUUAAUCUAUUGUUGCAAGCAAAAAAAAAAAAAAAAACUGUAGCGUCCGUACGGACGCUACUGUACUAUCCGUACGGAAUUUUUUAAAAUUUUUUUAAAAAUAAUUUGAUUAGAUCGUUUUAAAAUAAUAAAAAGAAAAGAGGUGGAUCAAAUUUAAUUAUAUAUAUCAAAUUAAUAUCUUGAUGAGAUCAAGUUGUUUUGUUUGAAAAUUAAGUUGUUGAUCAAAAUUAUAAACGAUCAAUAAGAUUGAUUGUUUUUAAUAAUUUAGUCAUUGAUUUUUCGAAUCAUCGUUGAACGGUUAAUUAGAAUACCCAAAAUUAAUUAUUAUGUAUGUGAUGUAUGAGAUACAUAUCGAUGAUGAUCAUGGAUAGCGACCUAUUUAUUUUUGUUUUGAUAUGUGAUGUAUGAUGUGUAUGCAGAAUCCUGUAAUUUUAAAUUUGUUUAAAUAAGAACUUUGUAUUAGAGAUGGCUUUUUUGUGCCUGUGUGCACAAGCCGAUUUAUUUGGAGACCUGUGUGUCACAAUAGGUUAGAAAUAAAAAUGAUCAAAUGUAAUUAAUUUUUAUUUCAUUUUUAUUGUUAGGUUGUAUAAUGUAUGGUUGCACGUCAUUGGUUGAUCGGUUGCUAGCCGAGAGGUACGCAAAGACUUAAUCGAGAUGAAUAGUUGAUGGUGGUCGGAUCAAGAUGUUGAUAGGAUCGGAUCAAAUUAUAGCUCCGGAUCGAAUCAAGUAGUUGAAGACGAUCAAACUAAUGACGUGUGU